AUUUACUCUAAAAACAGUUAACAAAGUUUACAUAAAAAGUUCUCCAAUCAAUCUCGUCAUAUGUAUCGGAUAUCGGCAGAGGCACAUAAAAUUGAACUCGGUCAUCGGUAGAUAUAAUCAAUCCGAAUUCAAGAGCAAAAAUAUAUUUUAAAAAAAGAAAGAAAUUCACGAUAAUUUCACAACAAAUCUCAAAAGGGAGUAAAUGAUUCAUCUAGAUAAUUAUCAAAUAUACAGUAGGUACCGCCCGUAUAAAACUUAUAAAAUAUACCUUCCGGAAUUUUCCAGCCUCCAUUUAUGUAUUACAUGUACGUUACCAGUGACGUCACUGGAAAGAGAAGUCUGACGUCUGCAAGUUCUAGGGCCUAACUAAAGUGUAUUACAUAAUGGAGACGUGGGUUACCAAAAACAGAAAAUAUUGACCAUGUUGAGCCAGUGAGCUGUCUUGGUCAGCACCCAGGUGUAUCCAUCAACACGGGCACGUUAUAUCAAAAUGCAGAUAUGCAUUCCAGGAUGGUGACUGAAGCUCAUCUUUGUAAACACCUAUAUGCCUAGAAUGGACUCCAAAACAGAUUAUUAAAGUUUAACCAGUAUAAUCUUGAAUAUGGACAAAAAGUAUACACUUGGAACACAAACAAAAACAGAUGAGUCCAUGCCAAGCUAAAGAUUAAUGCAGAAGAUAAAAGAGAACUGGAGAAGAAUGAAUUGAUGUUAACAUACUCAACAUUAAAUUUGGCUUAAAUCUAAA